rnacentral:rRNA from 1 species
GACGAACGCUGGCGGCGUGCUUAACACAUGCAAGUCGAACGGAAAGGCCCUGCUUUUGUGGGGUGCUCGAGUGGCGAACGGGUGAGUAACACGUGAGUAACCUGCCCUUGACUUUGGGAUAACUUCAGGAAACUGGGGCUAAUACCGGAUAGGAGCUCCUGCUGCAUGGUGGGGGUUGGAAAGUUUCGGCGGUUGGGGAUGGACUCGCGGCUUAUCAGUUUGUUGGUGGGGUAGUGGCUUACCAAGGCUUUGACGGGUAGCCGGCCUGAGAGGGUGACCGGCCACAUUGGGACUGGGAUACGGCCCAGACUCCUACGGGAGGCAGCAGUGGGGAAUAUUGCACAAUGGGCGGAAGCCUGAUGCAGCAACGCCGCGUGCGGGAUGACGGCCUUCGGGUUGUAAACCGCUUUCGCCUGUGACGAAGCGUGAGUGACGGUAAUGGGGAAAGAAGCACCGGCUAACUACGG